rnacentral:rRNA from 1 species
AUUGAACGCUGGCGGCAGGCCUAACACAUGCAAGUCGAACGAGUGGCGGACGGGUGAGUAAUGUCUGGGAAACUGCCCGAUGGAGGGGGAUAACUACUGGAAACGGUAGCUAAUACCGCAUACCAUCGGAUGUGCCCAGAUGGGAUUAGCUAGUAGGUGGGGUCACGGCUCACCUAGGCGCCGAUCCGUAGCUGGUCUGUGAGGAUGACCAGCCACACUGGAACGGAGACACGGUCCAGACUCCUACGGGAGGCAGCAGUGGGGAAUAGUGGACAAUGGGCUCAAGUCUGAUGCAGCCAUGCCGCGUGUAUGAAGAAGGCCUUCGGGUUGUAAAGUACUUUCAGCGAGGAGGCGUUACUCGCAGAAGAAGCACCGGCUAACUACGUACCAGCAGCCGCGGUAAUAC